rnacentral:rRNA from 1 species
UAAGACGUAGGGUCCAAGCGUUGUCCGGAUUUACUGGGCGUAAAGAGCGCGUAGGCGGCCUGUUAAGUGUGAAGCUAAAUCUCUGGGCUUAACCCAGAAACUAUUUCGCAUACUGGCUGGCUGGAGUGAUGCAGAGGUUUGUGGAAUUCCUGGUGUAACGGUGAAAUGUGUUGAUAUCAGGAGGAACACCCAUGGCGAAGGCAGCAAACUGGGCAUCAACUGACGCUGAGGCGCGAAAGCGUGGGUAGCAAACAGGAUUAGAUACCCUGGUAGUCCACGCCCUAAACGAUGGAUACUAGGCGUAAGAGGUAUCGACCCCUCUUGUGCCGCAGCUAACGCAUUAAGUAUCCCGCCUGGGGAGUACGGCCGCAAGGUUG